UGCAUAUCGAAUAAAAUGGAGGAAUGG
rnacentral:piRNA from 1 species